rnacentral:tRNA from 1 species
AGAGGGUUAGCUUAGUUUGGUAGAGCGUUGGUUUCCAAAACCAAAGGUCAUAGGUUCAAAUCCUAUACUCUCUG